GGUCUGACCUGCCCAAUGAUUUUUUAAUGGCCGCAGUAUUUUGACUGUGCAAAGGUAGCAUAAUCAUUAGUUUUUUAAUUGAAAGCUGGAAUGAAUGGUUUGAUGAAAAAAUAACUGUCUCAAUGUAAUUGUUAUAGAAUUUUAAUUUUAAGUAAAAAAGCUUAAAUGUUUUAUGAAGACGAGAAGACCCUAUAGAGUUUUAUAUUCAUUUUGUUAAAUUUUUUUAGGAUUGUUUUAUUUGAUUAGUAUUGUGGAUAUUUUGUUGGGGUGAUGUAAAAAUUAAAUUAACUUUUUAUUUUUGAUAACAUUAAUUUAUGGAUUUUUGAUCCUUGUUUUUGGAUUAUAAGAUUAAAUUACCUUAGGGAUAACAGCGUAAUUUUUUUUGAGAGUUCUUAUCGAUAGAAAAGUUUGCGACCUCGAUGUUGGAUUAAAAUUUAUUUUUGGUGUAGAAGCUAGAAUAUUAGGUCUGUUCGACCUUUAAAAUUUUACGUGAUCUGAGUCAAGACCGG
rnacentral:rRNA from 1 species